rnacentral:rRNA from 1 species
UGGCGACCGGCGCACGGGUGAGUAACACGUAUCCAACCUGCCGAUGACUCGGGGAUAGCCUUUCGAAAGAAAGAUUAAUACCCGAUGGCAUAGUUCUUCCGCAUGGUGGAACUAUUAAAGAAUUUCGGUCAUCGAUGGGGAUGCGUUCCAUUAGGUUGUUGGCGGGGUAACGGCCCACCAAGCCCUUCGAUGGAUAGGGGUUCUGAGAGGAAGGUCCCCCACAUUGGAACUGAGACACGGUCCAAACUCCUACGGGAGGCAGCAUG